rnacentral:rRNA from 1 species
GUCGACGAGACUUCCGUUGAAUGACGUGCUUGCACUGAUUUCAACAAUGAAGCGAGUGGCGAACUGGUGAGUAACACGUGGGGAAUCUGCCCAGAAGCAGGGGAUAACACUUGGAAACAGGUGCUAAUACCGUAUAACAACAAAAUCCGCAUGGAUUUUGUUUGAAAGGUGGCUUCGGCUAUCACUUCUGGAUGAUCCCGCGGCGUAUUAGUUAGUUGGUGAGGUAAAGGCCCACCAAGACGAUGAUACGUAGCCGACCUGAGAGGGUAAUCGGCCACAUUGGGACUGAGACACGGCCCAAACUCCUACGGGAGGCAGCAGUAGGGAAUCUUCCACAAUGGACGAAAGUCUGAUGGAGCAAUGCCGCGUGAGUGAAGAAGGGUUUCGGCUCGUAAAACUCUGUUGUUAAAGAAGAACACCUUUGAGAGUAACUGUUCAAGGGUUGACGGUAUUUAACCAGAAAGCCACGGCUAACUACGUGCCAGCAGCCGCGGUAAUACGUAGGUGGCAAGCGUUGUCCGGAUUUAUUGGGCGUAAAGCGAGCGCAGGCGGUUUUUUAAGUCUGAUGUGAAAGCCUUCGGCUUAACCGGAGAAGUGCAUCGGAAACUGGGAGACUUGAGUGCAGAAGAGGACAGUGGAACUCCAUGUGUAGCGGUGGAAUGCGUAGAUAUAUGGAAGAACACCAGUGGCGAAGGCGGCUGUCUAGUCUGUAACUGACGCUGAGGCUCGAAAGCAUGGGUAGCGAACAGGAUUAGAUACCCUGGUAGUCCAUGCCGUAAACGAUGAGUGCUAAGUGUUGGAGGGUUUCCGCCCUUCAGUGCUGCAGCUAACGCAUUAAGC